UGUGUAGGCGGGAUAGUAAGCGUCUUGUGAAAUCCCCCGGCUUAACCGGGGAAUUGCUUGGCGAACUACUAUUCUUGAGCCAAACAGGGGUGCAUGGAACUCUUGGUGGAGCGGUGGAAUGCGUAGAUAUCAAGAGGAACGCCAGUGGAGAAAUCGGUGCACUGGGCUUGUUCUGACGCUGAGACACGAAAGCGUGGGGAGCGAACAGGAUUAGAUACCCUGGUAGUCC
rnacentral:rRNA from 1 species